CACGUAGGGUGCGAGCGUUUGUCCGGAAUUAUUGGGCGUAAAGAGCUCGUAGGCGGUGUGUCGCGUCGGCCGUGAAAACCUGCAGCUUAACUGUGGGCUUGCGGUCGAUACGGGCAUCACUGGAGUUCGGCAGGGGAGACUGGAAUUCCUGGUGUAGCGGUGAAAUGCGCAGAUAUCUGGAGGAAUACCGGUGGCGAAGGCGGCAUCCUGGACCGGCAUUGACGCUGAGGAGCGAAAAGCCAGG
rnacentral:rRNA from 1 species